rnacentral:rRNA from 1 species
UAAAUACUCCCUAGUGACCGAUAGUGAACCAGUACCGUGAGGGAAAGGUGAAAAGCACCCCGGAAGGGGAGUGAAAUAGAUCCUGAAACCGUGUGCCUACAACAAGUCAAAGCUCGUUAAUGAGUGAUGGCGUGCCUUUUGUAGAAUGAACCGGCGAGUUACGAUUGCAUGCGAGGUUAAGUCGAAGAGACGGAGCCGCAGCGAAAGCGAGUCUGAAUAGGGCGAAUGAGUAUGUAGUCGUAGACCCGAAACCAUGUGAUCUACCCAUGUCCAGGUUGAAGGUGCGGUAAAACGCACUGGAGGACCGAACCCACGUACGUUGAAAAGUGCGGGGAUGAGGUGUGGGUAGCGGAGAAAUUCCAAACGAACUUGGAGAUAGCUGGUUCUCUCCGAAAUAGCUUUAGGGCUAGCCUCGGAAUUGAGAAUGAUGGAGGUAGAGCACUGUUUGGACUAGGGGCCCAUCUCGGGUUACCGAAUUCAGAUAAACUCCGAAUGCCAUUCAUUUAUAUCCGGGAGUCAGACUGCGAGUGAUAAGAUCCGUAGUCGAAAGGGAAACAGCCCAGACCACCAGCUAAGGUCCCAAAAUAUAUGUUAAGUGGAAAAGGAUGUGGGGUUGCACAGACAACUAGGAUGUUGGCUUAGAAGCAGCCACCAUUUAAAGAGUGCGUAAUAGCUCACUAGUCGAGUGACCCUGCGCCGAAAAUGUACCGGGGCUAAACAUAUUACCGAAGCUGUGGACUACACCAUUAGGUGUAGUGGUAGGAGAGCGUUCUAAGGGCGUUGAAGGUCGAUCGUGAGGACGGCUGGAGCGCUUAGAAGUGAGAAUGCCGGUAUGAGUAGCGAAAGACAGGUGAGAAUCCUGUCCACCGUAUGACUAAGGUUUCCUGGGGAAGGCUCGUCCGCCCAGGGUUAGUCGGGACCUAAGCCGAGGCCGAUAGGCGUAGGCGAUGGACAACAGGUUGAUAUUCCUGUACCAGUUGUUUUUGUUUGAGCAAUGGAGGGACGCAGUAGGCUAAGGAAUGCAUGCGAUUGGAAGUGCAUGUCCAAGCAAUGAGUCUUGAGUAGAGUUAAAUGCUUUACUCUUUAAGGACAAGUUGUGACGGGGAGCGAAAUAAUAGUAGCGAAGUUCCUGAUGUCACACUGCCAAGAAAAGCUUCUAGUGAGAAAACAACUGCCCGUACCGUAAACCGACACAGGUAGUCGAGGAGAGUAUCCUAAGGUGAGCGAGCGAACUCUCGUUAAGGAACUCGGCAAAAUGACCCCGUAACUUCGGGAGAAGGGGUGCUGACUUCGGUCAGCCGCAGUGAAUAGGCCCAAGCGACUGUUUAUCAAAAACACAGGUCUCUGCAAAAUCGUAAGAUGAAGUAUAGGGGCUGACGCCUGCCCGGUGCUGGAAGGUUAAGAGGAUGGGUUAGCUUCGGCGAAGCUCAGAAUUGAAGCCCCAGUAAACGGCGGCCGUAACUAUAACGGUCCUAAGGUAGCGAAAUUCCUUGUCGGGUAAGUUCCGACCCGCACGAAAGGCGUAACGAUUUGGGCACUGUCUCAACGAGAGACUCGGUGAAAUUUUAGUACCUGUGAAGAUGCAGGUUACCCGCGACAGGACGGAAAGACCCCAUGGAGCUUUACUGUAGUUUGAUAUUGAGUGUUUGUACCACAUGUACAGGAUAGGUAGGAGCCGAUGAGACCGGAACGCUAGUUUCGGAGGAGGCGCUGGUGGGAUACUACCCUUGUGUUAUGAAC